rnacentral:rRNA from 1 species
GUCCUAGCCCUAAACGAUCAGGACUUGGGGUGCAUCCCGACGGGGUGCGUCCCGUAGCUAACGCGUUAAGUCCUGCGCCUGGGGAGUACGGUCGCAAGACUGAAACUCAAAGGAAUUGACGGGGGCCCGCACAAGCGGUGGAACAUGUGGUUCAAUUCGACGCAACGCGAAGAACCUUACCUGGGCUUGAACCGCUACUGACCAACGGUGGAAACAUCGUCUUCUCGCAAGAGACAGUAGUAGAGGUGCUGCAUGGCUGUCGU